rnacentral:rRNA from 1 species
UACGUAGGGUGCAAGCGUUGUCCGGAAUUAUUGGGCGUAAAGAGCUCGUAGGCGGUUUGUUGCGUCGGCUGUGAAAUCCCGAGGCUCAACCUCGGGUCUGCAGUAGAUACGAGCAAACUAGAGUGUUGCAGGGGAGACUGGAAUUCCUGGUGUAGCGGUGAAAUGCGCAGAUAUCAGGAGGAACACCGGUGGCGAAGGCGGGUCUCUGGGCAACAACUGACGCUGAGGAGCGAAAGCAUGGGGAGCGAACAGG